rnacentral:rRNA from 1 species
AAUCAACGCUGGCGGCGUGCCUAACACAUGCAAGUCGCACGAGAAAGGGGAGCAAUCCCUGAGUAAAGUGGCGCACGGGUGAGUAACACGUGAAUCAUCUACCUCCGAGUGGGGAAUAACUGAGAGAAAUCUUAGCUAAUACCGCAUAACACUUACGAGUCAAAGCAGCAAUGCGCUUGGAGAGGAGUUCGCGGCCGAUUAGUUAGUUGGC